rnacentral:tRNA from 1 species
GUUUUAAUAAUUUAAAUAAAAUAUUGGCCUUGUAAGUCAAAAAUAAGAUUUUUCUUUUAAAACU